rnacentral:ncRNA from 1 species
GGGGACCUAUGGGGCCCUAUAACAUGAGGUGGGUUUCACCCACCCUACACAUAGGCGAAUUCAAGGAUUCGCCACUGCUAAACGGAAGACAGAAA